rnacentral:lncRNA from 1 species
UUAAGGAUGUACACCUCUGAGGAGCCAAAAAUUUCUAGAAUUAAACUUUUUUUCUUAACUUGAUUUUUGGGUUUAUAAGACUAACAAAAUAAUUGGUGAAGAAAAAAUCAUAUGGUGGUGCACUUCUUUUUUUGCUACGGCCCUUUGAAAAUGCCCAUUUUUGAUGAUUUUCCCAUUUUUAAUCGAUUUUUACCUAUUUUUUGGCUAUUUUCGUGAAAAAAAU